rnacentral:rRNA from 1 species
GACGAACGCUGGCGGCGUGCUUAACACAUGCAAGUCGAACGGCAAGGCCCUGCUUUUGUGGGGUGCUCGAGUGGCGAACGGGUGAGUAACACGUUAGUAACCUGCCCUUGACUUUGGGAUAACUUCAGGAAACUGUGGCUUAUACCGGCUAGGAUCUCCUGCUGCAUGGUGGGGGUUGGAAAGUUUCGGCGGUUGGGGAUGGACUCGCGGCUUAUCAGCUUGUUGGUGGGGUAGUGGCUUACCAAGGCUUUGACGGGUAGCCGGCCUGAGAGGGUGACCGGCCACAUUGGGACUGAGAUACGGCCCAGACUCCAACGGGAGGCAGCAGUGGGGAAUAUGGCACAAUGGGCGGAAGCCUGAUGCAGCAACGCCGCGUGCGGGAUGACGGCCUUCGGGUUGUAAACCGCUUUCGCCUGUGACGAAGCGGGAGUGACGGUAAUGGGUAAAGAAGCACCGGCUAACUACGUG